AUGCCAGCGGCUCCGGCGGUGGGCAGCAGCGGUCAUGUCGCCGAUGGCAGGGCCAGCUGUCGGGGUAACCUUCUUCGCCCCCACCCCCCUGCUCGCCCCGGCCCCGGCGCGCCGGUGCCUGUCCGUGGUCAUACGGUGGAGACGAUCGAGUCUUCAGGUGACACGGCUGCUGACAAUCUUCUCCUCUCCGAAGACGGCCAUGGGGACAGCACGGAGUGCUCGAGCUCAUUUGGGCCCUCCUGCUCUGUUUCUGAUGACGAGACCAAGUCAGGCAUGCACGACAUGGAGGUGGACUCGCCUUUCCUGGGUAAUUUCAAUGUGGACGGCGCCGCUUCUCUUCCAAAGAUGGCCAGACAGAAGCAAGUGACAGCUGAGUGGAGAGAGGCCGUUCGCCCAAUUAUGUGGCGAUGCCAGUGGUUAGAAUUGCGUAUGAAGGAGCUUUCGUCGCAAGUAGCAAAGUAUGACAGGGAACUUGCUUUAAUCAGUCAUGAAAAAGAUCUGCAGUCUGAGAUGAUUGCAACCGAUAGUUCUGGUCCAGAACUGGCAAAACAGGAUGCCCAAGGCCAUGAUAGAAAUAUUAUGAAGAGGAGACAACGGCAAAGGCUUGAAGACAUCGUGGACACCUCAUUGUACAUGGAUAGUCAUCAAAUAUUAUCCUAUUAUCAUGAAAGCAAAAACAGAAAUAGUGGAGCUGAAACAGAUGGUCUGUUGAUUUAUGAUGAUGCAGUUGCUGAGGAUACCAAAAGAAGAGUUCCUGACAAUACAUUACCGGAGUCUAAGGAAACAGAUAGGGUCUUAGAACAAUAUUCUUUAACAGAUAUUCUUCGGACAAUUGAUAGUAUCCAGUCUCGAGUCCUUAGGCUUCAAGGUCAUCUCAGCAAGGUUUGCAGCAAUCACACACAAGUUAAGGUGCCUCCAAAGAGUCAGAAGGCUCAAACCCAGUUAGCCUCUUGUAAGAAGGAUGGACACCAUCCUCAGAAAAAGAGGGAUCUGAAUAGUUUGCUUCAGGAGGAGGAUAAACCUAGACCACUUGUUGGAGUGCCAACUACUUUAUCAGAUAGGUGCACUGACUAUGUGAUGGAAUGUGGAAAGAGAAAUAUUGCAGAAGAAGGUGCAACACAACCAUAUGCAAAGAAAGUCACAUUUGAGACACUCUUUGGUGCAGAUAAUCCCUUAAUUGAUCAUACUCAUCUAGGAGAAUUAUACAAAGAAAAUGCUGAUGAUGUCCUAAUAGACAAUCGAGCAGCCCUAGUAGAAGGGUACCAGCAGUUUGAGAAGGUGAAGCAGGAAGCACAGAAUCAUGUGGAGCUGGCUAAUAAGGUUGCUAACACCCUUCUUUCCAGAGGAGAAGAAACUGUUGCAAGACAGGUAGUUAAGCUUGAACCAGUUUAUGAAAUAGCUCCAAGUGUGAAGCAAGUCGGCCCUGGAAAUAAACGAAGCAAGAAACCAAAGAAGAAAUCUGGGAGCUCUCUGCCUCCUUUGGAAGAGCAAAUCGAGAAGUCCCCUGAUGUACCUGCAAAGAAGAGAACUGUGAAAGAUCUGCACAAUUUGAAGAAUGAAAAGCCUGUUUUUGUAGCUGUGGACACGCGGAGGAGCCAACGAGUCCGAAAACCUAAAAAGUACGGAAGCGAUUGA
rnacentral:rRNA from 1 species